UUGGAGCAUGGGAACGCACAUGACUGAGAUCCGUGUCGAAGUUUUUACUUUCAGAAUUGCUCUCCAGUCCCAAUGCACCUGCCACAGUAAAAAAUCCAAGGUGCAAAUGCCGAGUCUACAAAGAAGAUCGCCAUUUUAGCUGGCACGGACGUUACCUUAAACUGCUUUUUCAACAAUCCUGAACAUGUACCGCUGAAGAAAAUCACGGUCGAGUGGGGGAUCAUGGUGGAUAAAGAGACCAUAAAGCACCUAGUAUAUACGUUCCAGAACGAGAGCGGCAAGGUGCAUCGUGAAGGGUCCCAAGUCGACCAAACAGGGUUGCUUCAGGGCAAUGCCUCCCUUCAUUUGUUCAACGUGACUGUGGCUGAUGAGGGACUCUACCGCUGCAGAGUGAUCAUCACUCCCAACAUAUACAAAGUCUCCUCUCAGCUGGAAGUAUCAGCCAGACCCUCAGUGUCCCUCCCAGAGACAGCCAUGGUGAUGGAGGGGGAGGAAAGGACAUUGAUGUGUGACAUCAUGGGAUUCUACCCAGAGAAUCUGGCCGUGACCUGGCUGAUCCAAAAUGGCUCCCGGGUGGCCCGUGGGAGCAUGGCUCGCGGGACCGUCUCGCGUGACGUGUGCACCGGAAUGACUGUGCCCAAUCCAGACGGCACCUACAGUGUCAGCAGUCACAUCACUGUCCAGGCUACAACCGUAGGGAGCGGAGGAGCCAUGUACAUCUGUCACAUCGAACAUAGGUCCUACCCUGAUGGGAAAUACAGCAAAAGCAUUUUGUUGACCGUGCAAGAUCCAGGGUUUAAUGCUGUAACACUGAUGGUAGUUACUAGUCUUGUUAGUGUUCUUCUGGUCUUCUCCGUCAUCGGUGGUGCAAUGGUCUUCUACAGGUAUUUUUUCACAGAUCCACCCAGCAUCUCUGACAUCAUCAAACCCACCAUAAUUUACGCCAUGAAGCCGACCAACUUAAAAUGCACCAUUAAAAGAGUACGAGUGAGAGAGCUCAAAGUGAAAUGGUACAAGAUAACAGCCAAUACGGACUGUACCGCAGCAUCCAACAGUCAAUCAAUGGCGCUGUUGAGCCAUAAGGACAUGAGUGACCAGGCUAACAUCCACUCUGAGAGCGUGCAUCACGUGUCCACCCUGUCCAUCUGUCUGUCAGUCAGUGAGGACCAGGCUAAGUACCUGUGUGUUGUGCUCUACAGAGGCAGGAAGAUCACCAGAGAGACCACUGUGAGUGUAAAAGUGACUCCAUCAUUCUUUCACAUCUCCAGCAUGCCUCAGAUCCCAGAGGUGGAGAGGUUGCUGGUGCUAUGCUGUCGGGUCGAGAAGUUCUACCCAGACGACCUCCAUCUCGAGUGGUUGAGAAACGACGGGGAGCAGGUGAGGACAGCCACUAACUAUGGACCGUUCUCUGACCACGAGCGCAUGUACAGCAUGUGGAGUAAGAUUGAACUGACCGUGGCUCAGGAAGACGAGAGGGCGGUCUACACAUGCCGCUUGUAUCACUCCAGUUUCCCCGGGCCGGGAUACAAAGACGUUCUCUAUCAUAUCAACACACAAGGUACUCCUCCAAGCGUGAUGUUCAUCAAGUGUGAGCCACUACUCCCUCUCCCAGAUGAGGAGUGCACGCUCAACCUCUGCAUCAAAGACUUCUGUCCCGAACAAGUGUCUGUCACGUGGUUUAAGGAUGGACAGGGGGUCCCCACCCGCCAGGUCUUCAACUCCCCACCCAGCCUCAACAUCAACGGCCUCUACUCUAUGUGGAGCUUCCUCAAACUGAGCCCCACCACAGAGGACUACGGCUCAGAGUUCAGGUGCCGGGUGGUCCACAGUGCACAGAAGGAACUGGAGGAGAGGGUGUUCACACUGUCAGAUCUCAUAGUCACCUAGUCAAGGGAUGUAUCAGACCUUUGUUCAAAUACUAUUUGAAAUAUUUCAAAUACUUUGUUUGCACUUUUGGGACUUUUCUAUUGGUUCCAUUACAACAGGAAAGCUCAAUAAAGGUCGGCUCAAGUAUUUGAACCCAGGUCUGGGAUGUAUAUAAGGAUAUUACCGCUAAAGUAUAUAGAAUACCUAAGGUUAUUUUUGUACAUUAAUUUAGUUUGAUGCAUUUAUACUAAUUUCGUUGACUUUAUUUAUCUUCUGAUAGAAUGGAAAUAUUUAAUUGAAAAAGCUUGCCCUGAACUGUCUUAGCAUACUAGAUAUGAUAAUGUCACGGGGGGCCUAAACUAGGAAAAGUGUCAGUACUACACCUUUUAUAUUGAGGUAAGAUAAUCUUAUAACUAACAAACACAGGUUCGUAGACCUUUAUACUUACAUCCCGUAUAUGGUACGAAAAUGGCAGAUUGGUCACUAUAAGCACUUCAAUUGGAACACAGAGGCUGUACAGUAACAUACUAUACAUCAAGUCAGAGCUCUGGGUCUUCGGUUUUCAUGGAUUUAUUUAUUUAUUAGGGACAGACACAAUUAAAAUAUUUACACAUUGAAUCAUCAACAGGAUUCAUGAAUGAUCAAUCAGUACCUAGAUAGGUUUUUAAAUGGUUUAAAAAAGACAAGAAAACAACUAAUCAAAACAAACAACCAAACAGGUUCGCAAGUGGUUAUAUCCUUGAUUUACUUUAAACCAGUUUUUCCACUUUCUGUGUAAACAUUAAUACCCACAGACAUGACUGCUCAAGCCUAGGGUUGCAAAACUACCGGUAAUUUCCCAAAGUUACCGGAAUUUGCAGUACAUUUGGUAAUUAAAGAGGUAAUUUAUACUUGAAUGACUUUAAAAAUAUAUAUUCAUAUAAAAUAUACAAUUUGUCUUAAUCUUUACAUCUGUGUACAGUGCCUUGCAAAAGUAUUCAUUCC